UGGGGAAUAUUGCACAAUGGGCGCAAGCCUGAUGCAGCGACGCCGCGUGCGGGAUGGAGGCCUCGGUUGUAACCGCUUUGUUCAAGGGCAAGGCAGGCUUUCGGGCCUGUUGAGUGGAUUGUUCGAAUAAGCACCGGCUAACUACGUGCC
rnacentral:rRNA from 1 species